UACAGAGGGGGCAAGCGUUGUUCGGAAUUACUGGGCGUAAAGGGCGCGUAGGCGGCCUGUUAAGUCGAACGUGAAAUCCCCGGGCUCAACCCGGGAACUGCGUCCGAUACUGGUUGGCUUGAGUUUGGGAGAGGGAUGCGGAAUUCCAGGUGUAGCGGUGAAAUGCGUAGAUAUCUGGAGGAACACCGGUGGCGAAGGCGGCAUCCUGGACCAAUACUGACGCUGAGGAGCGAAAGCCAGGGGAGCAAACGGG
rnacentral:rRNA from 1 species